CCUACGGGUGGCAGCAGUGAGGAAUAUUGGUCAAUGGACGAGAGUCUGAACCAGCCAAGUAGCGUGAAGGAUGACUGCCCUAUGGGUUGUAAACUUCUUUUAUAUGGGAAUAAAAUGUUCCACGUGUGGGAUUUUGUAUGUACCAUAUGAAUAAGGAUCGGCUAACUCCGUGCCAGCAGCCGCGGUAAUACGGAGGAUCCGAGCGUUAUCCGGAUUUAUUGGGUUUAAAGGGAGCGUAGGUGGAUUGUUAAGUCAGUUGUGAAAGUUUGCGGCUCAACCGUAAAAUUGCAGUUGAAACUGGCAGUCUUGAGUACAGGAGAGGUGGGCGGAAUUCGUGGUGUAGCGGUGAAAUGCGUAGAUAUCACGAAGAACUCCGAUUGCGAAGGCAGCUUACUGGACUGCAACUGACGCUGAGGCUCGAAAGUGUGGGUAUCAAACAGGAUUAGAUACCCCUGUAGUC
rnacentral:rRNA from 1 species